AGCCCACUGAGCAUGGCGCAGCUGGUAUAGCGCGCAGGGCCCAUAACCCUGAGGUCCCUCGAUCGAAACGAGGUGCUGCUA
rnacentral:tRNA from 1 species